CCUACGGGAGGCAGCAGUAAGGAAUAUUGGUCAAUGGAGGCAACUCUGAACCAGCCAUGCCGCGUGCAGGAUGACGGCCCUAUGGGUUGUAAACUGCUUUUGUACCAGAGAAAACCUAUCUACGUGUAGAUAGCUGAUAGUAUGGUAAGAAUAAGCAUCGGCUAACUUCGUGCCAGCAGCCGCGGUAAGACGAAGGAUGCAAGCGUUAUCCGGAUUCAUUGGGUUUAAAGGGUGCGUAGGCGGACUUGUAAGUCAGUGGUGAAAUCUCUUUGCUUAACAAAAAAACUGCCAUUGAUACUGCAGGUCUAGAGUAUAGAUGACGUUGGCGGAAUAUGACAUGUAGUGGUGAAAUACUUAGAUAUGUCAUAGAACACCGAUUGCGAAGGCAGCUAACGAAACUAUAACUGACGCUGAGGCACGAAAGUGCGGGGAUCAAACAGGAUUAGAUACCCUGGUAGUCCGCACCGUAAACGAUGAUUACUCGUUGUUGGCGAUAUGANAGUNAGCGACCGAACGACGAAAGACGAGUAAGUAAGUACCACCCGUACGGGAGGUACGGACCCGGCCGAACCGGUACGGAAACGUAACGAAAGUAAGUAAGUAGGUACGGACGGUUAGGAGGACGACGACGGACGGACGACGACGGAGGGGAGGGAGG
rnacentral:rRNA from 1 species